CAGGAAAGAAGCUUUGGAGGUUCUGAUUGAUAGCUUGGAUCAAGCUGAUAGAGAUAAUGUUGGACAAGCCAAGGAAACAGAAGCCCAAACCUCUAGUGAGAGGUCUGAAUCUCAAGAUGAAUCAAGUGGCAGUUCUGGUUCUGAAGCUGAUGAAGAUGCAAGCUCCUCUGACUAAGUUGUGCUGAAGAUUGUUCCUCACUUUUCUGAUGAUAUGUUGUUCUGGAUGUUUUGAUGGUGUUUUUUUUGGCAGUCAUGUUUUGAUGCCUUGAUGUAUUUUUUGGGUUCUUUUUU
rnacentral:lncRNA from 1 species